rnacentral:misc_RNA from 1 species
GUCACUGAAACCUCCAAUUGCAGUCCAAAUUAGCUGCUAUCAAGGUCUAAAUAAGUUGAUUACAAGUGAAAUACCUCAGGCCAGACAAAGCAUUGAUACCAUUGCUAUCAGGCUUACAUUAAAAAGUCUCAAGAAGCAGUGAAAAAGGGUGAAUAGUGGAAUGAGAAUGGAACAUAAUAAUGAUGGUGAUGCAACUUGCUCAAUCUAGGAUUAUGAUACUGUUGAUGAAAAGAGAGACAUAACAUAACAUAACAUUACAAAGGUGAGAUCAUAACAAACUCCGUCAAUGUACAAAGAUAACCAAUAGAUGAUUCCACCCUCCAAGCGGAAAAAUAAAGCUUCUGAUGGGUAGAUAGACCAAUUGAGAGGGAGAUCACAAAACUGUCUCCUACUACGCUGGUCCUGCGCUACUAAUUUUACUAACAUUGCUGCUGCUAUAUCCCCAGGAUAACAUAAACAGCCAAGAAAAUAACAUAAAAAAAAAAAUAACUUGCUAGAAAUGGAAGUUCAUGACCUAUAAAGCAUGGAGCUAAAUUUUCAAGGCCUGGUUAAUAUGCAGCCUUUUGGAGCAGAUGCUGUGAAGGAAGAAUUUGAAGGAAAAACUUAA